rnacentral:rRNA from 1 species
UGGGGAAUUUUGCACAAUGGGGGAAACCCUGAUGCAGCGACGCCGCGUGAUUUAGAAGGCCUUCGGGUUGUAAAAAUCUUUUCUAUGGGAAGAAAAUGACAGUACCAUAGGAAUAAGGACCGGCUAAUUACGUGCCAGCAGCCGCGGUAAUACGUAAGGUCCGAGCGUUGUCCGGAAUCAUUGGGCGUAAAGGGUACGUAGGCGGGUAAGCAAGUUAGAAGUGAAAUCCUAUAGCUCAACUAGAGUAAGCUUUUGAAACUGGUCAUCUUGAGGUAUGGAAGGGAAAGUGGAAUUCCUAGUGUAGCGGUGAAAUGCGCAGAUAUUAGGAGGAAUACCGGUGGCGAAGGCGACUUUCUGGCCAUAACCUGACGCUGAGGUACGAAAGCGUGGGUAGCAAACAGG